AACAUUUAUUACACAGAAUAUAAGGCAUGAUUUGUUUCCUGAGUGGCUCAGUAUCCGCAGAUGAUGAAAGAAGCAAUCAGCUGAAAUUAAAGCAGAGAAGCACACCCUUUGAGUAUGGUAGCAUAUCUUAAAGUUUUAUCUGUGGGCCUCCCCACUCCCCUUAUAGGAGAUCAAGUCAGGAUUCCAUAUGUUCUUCAUCCCAGUGUGAAUCCAGCAAAGGUCCACAGAGCAGUAAGGGAAGCAAGCAAAGCAUACAUGACAGUGAGGUUAAAGGUGAACAAACAGAUGUAAUGGUGGGAAAGCAACAGCCAAUGGACAAAAAACACCCUGGAAUUGCCAAUUUACCAGAAGUCCAGCCACCUAUCCUUGUCACUGCUCAUGAGGAUGGACACCUCCGCUUGUGGACUCUGGAGGGAAGACUACUGAAAGAUAUGCUACCUUUCACAAAACAUUCUGCCAUUUCUCUGACAUCGCUGUAUACUGAUUCAUGUACGAGGAUACUACUGGCUGGAAAUGUGGAAGGACAUGUUAUCCUUUGCAAUAUUAGCUCUUUCCUGGAUCCACCUCAUGAUGAAAAGGCUCUGGCAUGCCCUCAAUGGACAUUAUUGUGGAUAUUUUGGACAG
rnacentral:sRNA from 1 species